rfam:Salmo salar isolate Sally breed double haploid chromosome ssa16, whole genome shotgun sequence.
UGCAUUCACUACUGUAAGUCACUCUGGAUAAGAGAGUCUGCUAAAUGACUAAAA